GACGAACGCUGGCGGCGUGCCUAAUACAUGCAAGUCGCCCUUAGUGGCGAACGGGUGAGUAACACGUGGGUCACCUGCCCAUCAGAAGGGGAUAACACUUGGAAACAGGUGCUAAUACCGUAUACUUAUGGAUUGACCCGCGGUGCAUUAGCUAGUUGGUGAGGUAACGGCUCACCAAGGCCACGAUGCAUAGCAGACCUGAGAGGGUGAUCGGCCAAAUUGGAACUGAGACACGGCCCAAACGCCUACGGGAGGCAGCAGUAGGGAAGAUUCGGCAAUGGACGAAAGUCUGACCGAGCAACGCCGCGUGAGUGAAGAAGGUUUUCGGAUCGUAAAACUCUGUUGUUAGAGAAGCGGUAUCUAACCAGAAAGCCACGGCUAACUACGUGCCAGCAGCCGCGGUAAUAC
rnacentral:rRNA from 1 species